GCCGUUGAUGGAUGACAUCUUAUGUGCAGCAAUCCUAGGAAACCACAUCUGUAAGACAAAACCAUGUAUAUGGAUCAACAAUGAAAUGCAGGCUGUUUCAACACUUGAUAGCAUGUAAGAAAUUGAAGUGAAGCAUACUGAGCAUGCAGAAAAGCUUAUACCUAAAGCCCAUGGCCAAGGCUGAUGAAGAAGCAUAUUAGAAUAUAGAGACAUUUUAUUAAAAAAAUGAAAGUAAAAAACUGAAGGAUAGUAGGACUUUAUCCAGCAUGUCAUGGGUUAUAUUUCAGAACCAACUGAAGAAAGAUAGUAAUUCUAUACUCGAUCUGUUUGACCAUCUUGGUCAGCCUACCAUGGCUUGGUACAGAACUCAUGCCAUGCCCCCAUUAAAUAAAUUGAUUUCUAUCAUGUGCCCGUAUAAAUAUACACUUGUACAAGAGCGAAUAGUAUUACAAUCUAUAGAUGUAUCCAUACAUUUAAACCAAACAAAUGUAAAAAUAUCAGGCCAGUUAACAUGUCAAACAAAAGCAUGCCUACAGCUUAUAACUGACAGCAAAGAUUUACAAUUUAGACCCAAAAGUCCAAAGAAGUUCCGGUAGUAACUUUUGUUGGCUGAUCAGUGCUACCACAAAAAAUAACAAAUUGAUGCCAGAGGAAGAGAUGCACCAUGCGCGGAUAAAUUUGCUACAGCUGCACUGUAAUAACCAGUCAACUCUAAUGUCCAACAGCAUGGAAUGAGGUGUGGUCUUCAGGUGCAAUUGACAAAGGAUAUAACCUUGCUCCAUGAAUCAAAGUGGGAGUGGAAUUGUGAAGAGCCAAUGUAAGAACUAAUUAAUAUAUUAGGUAUGGUUAUUAAGAAUAAUGCUCUGGAUGACAACAGUGGUACUUAUUAACCUUGCUCCCUGAAUUAACACAAGCCUCGUUUUCCUUUUUAACAUAAUAACAUUUCAGAGUGGUAUCCAAUUAUUAGCAAUGUAAUGUCAGAAUUAUUAGAUCACUGAAUUAACCAAACCCUUUUUCCUGUUAACAUGUCAGGAUGAUUUUCAAUUGGCAAUGUGAUGUUAGCAAAGUUCACAUGUACUGGUCCCUAAUCAAAGUUGUUUCUGCAACACACAUUGUCAUCUCAUGAUACAACUGACAAAAUAUCACGUGUGUGAUUUCUAAUCUACUGGAUUGCACUAUGCUUUACAAUUUACAGUCUUACCUGAGUCAGCUUCCUCUGCUAUUCUUUCUGUAAAACGGAAGAGGCUCCGUAAAGGGAGCUUGUGGUUCCAAGGAGCACAAUGGAGAGAUAUAUGCAAGAUCAAUUUCCAAGUCACGUUAAUUUAGGUCCUGACAAAGGGAAGAUCAGUAUAUCCGACAGACAUGAUAUGAGAAGGGAAAUGAUACUUUGACUUUAUUAAGACAAGAACGUUCCUGGGAAGAGUGGUGGAGAUGGAGGAAGACCUUCGGCGGCGGAGGAGCAGCGGCUCCGGCGGGGCAGGCGAAAGGCUUCAGUCGCGGCAGAAGAACAGCGAGGAGAUGGGGCGGCGCGCCGAUCUGGAGGGCUGCGGGGAGGCGCGCCGGAUCGGGAGACUGGAUCAGGGCGCAGUUGGAGAGAGGGGCGGCGGUGGAUGCGUCCGCGGCGGGGUAGGGCGCUGGGUCGUUCGC
rnacentral:lncRNA from 1 species